UAAUUUUCCCACCUAAAUAAUUCUGAUUUUCUCACCUAAAUAAUUCUAAUUUUCACACCUAAAGAAUUCUAAUUUUCCCACCUAAAUAAUUCCGAUUUUCACACCUAAAUCAUUCUAAUUUUCACACCUAAAUAAUUCUAAUUUUCACACCUGAAUAAUUCUGGGAAACCCUAUUUGGUUUCCCACCUGAAUAAUUCUAACUUUCCCACCUAAAGAAUUCUAAUUUUCCCACCUAAAUCAUUCUAAUUUUCCCACCUCAAUAAUUCCUGACCCACAGCAAACCCUGUGUAAGAAAUUUCAGCCUUCUCUCUCUACUGGCACGAAGUAAUAAAUAUGAAUUUAUAAUUUUUGAGGGAAAUUGUUGAGCUUUGACAUCUGCUGCAGAUGUCCCUGGCNUGGGUGGGAUUUUGAUGUGGGAUUUUGGGGAGGGGUUUUCUGUCACUUUUAUCACCUAAAAAUGAUAAAAUUUUGUGUUUUUCUGACCAAAAUCAAUCUGUGAGCUGCAGUUUUUGAGGUAAAUCCCAGAAAUUUUCUGUGAGGAAAUUUUGGGAUUUUUUGAGCCUUUCUGAGCCCAGCUCAGCUCUGAAUUCAAUCUCACUUUUAUCACCUAAAAAUGAGAAAAUUUUGUAUUUAUUUGACCAAAAUCAAUCUGUGAGCUGCAAG
rnacentral:lncRNA from 1 species